GGCGGCAGGCUUAACACAUGCAAGUCGAACGGUUGUAGCAAUACAGCAGUGGCAGACGGGUGAGUAACACGUGGGAACCUUCCUAGGGGUACGGAACAACUCAGGGAAACUUGAGCUAAUACCGUAUACGUCCGUGAGGAGAAAGAUUUAUCGCCCUUAGACGGGCCCGCGUCGGAUUAGCUAGUUGGUGGGGUAACGGCCUACCAAGGCGACGAUCCGUAGCUGAUCUUAGAGGAUGAUCAGCCACACUGGGACUGAGACACGGCCCAGACUCCUACGGGAGGCAGCAGUGGGGAAUCUUGGACAAUGGCGCAAGCCUGAUCCAGCCAUGCCGCGUGAGUGAAGAAGGUCUUCGGAUUGUAAAGCUCUUUUGCCAGGGACGAUAAUGACGGUACCUGGAGAAUAAGCCCCGGCAAACUUCGUG
rnacentral:rRNA from 1 species